UAUUGGGCGUAAAGGGUGCGUAGGUGGCUCAAUAAGUUAGUGAUGGCAAAUCAGGGCUCAACCUUGUGGAAGUUGCUAAUACUAUUGAACUAGAAGGCAGGAGAGGUUAACAGAGUUCUCUAUGGAGCGGUAAAAUGUAUAGAUAUAGAGAAAAAUACCAAGAAGGCGAAGGCAGUUAACUAUUCUGUUCUUGACACUGAGGCACGAAAGCGUGGGGAGCAAAAAGGAUUAGAUACCCUUGUAGUCCACGCCGUAAACGAUGAGUGCUAGAUAUUGGGCCGUUAGGCUUAGUGUCGCAGGUAACCCGGUAAGCACUCCGCCUGGGCAGUACGCUCGCAAGAGUGAAACUCAAAGGAAGUGACGGGGACUCGCACAAGCAGUGGAGCAUGUGGUUUAAUCCGAAGCAACGCGUAGAACCUUACCAAGGCUUGACAUGUUUGGCAAAACUGGGGAAACUCAGCGGAGGUCAUCCAAACACAGGUGCUGCAUGGCCGUCGUCAGUUCGUGCCGUGAGGUGUAUGGUUAAGUCCUAUAACGAACGCAACCCUUAGGCUUAGUUACCAGCAGUAAGAUGGGGACUCUAAGUCGACUGCCUAUGUAAGUAGGAGGAAGGAAAGGAUGACGUCUGGUCGU
rnacentral:rRNA from 1 species